AAAUGACUCAGAAGGCAUCAUGAUCAACUGCGAUUCGUAGAGAGUAUCAAUAACAAACAAGAUCAUCAGACUAAGCCCGAUCAAUCUGCACGCAGGCUAUUCAAUUGGCGAAAUAUUUACAUGAUUAAACAAAGAAUGGCAUUUAUAUUACAUGUUAAAGAACCAACAACAGAAACCUGAGGGCACAAGUAAAUGUUACAUCAUGCAGGCGAGGCGAAGCCUUGGGAUUUCAGCUAAGCCAGAACCGCUGCUUAUAAGAGCUUUGAUAUUACACGGCAGGAAGUCCAGAAUGCUGCUGAUGCAGCUCUUAGAAUAGCUGGGUUUUGGUAUAUCCCAAUAGCUGUAGCCCCCCAAGAUGCUACAUUGUAAAUAACUUUGCUUCCAUCCCAUGCCUUUCGGAGCUUUCCUUUCUUCUUUUUCAAAGAGAAUGUCUUGCUGAGAGCAUCUUGGAGUUGGUUUGGUGUCAAAUCCUUAGUCUGCUUAAGAGAUAACAGGUAUGCAGCCAUAAAGCAAGCUAUACCAUCCACUAUAUCUUCUUGCCUUACUAAAACAUAGUCUUCUCCAUCUAACUCAGGAUCUCCACCUUCCCAAAGGUCAUUCUCAUUGACCAUGUCCCACGAACUUCCUUCUUCAGCUAAGUUUUGUGGAACAGAUACUUGAGCAUUUUCUAGCUUUUGAAGGAAAUCUGAGCAUUGAACUCUAGAUUUCAGGAGAUCUCGCAGCUCAUCGGUCUCAACAUCGGCAGAGGGAGUAGAGGAGCCUUGACCGGAGUCCUCCAAAGCAUCCCGGUCAACAUCACUGCUAGAAUUUGAUUCAUCGGUGUCAUCCUCAACGGAACCAGUAGUACUAAGCAAUUCAAGAGCUCGUUGACAUUCCUGUAACACAGCCUCAAGCGUUUUUCUCUUCACCUUAAUCCGAUCCUGAUUAGAUUUAGCUCUCACCAACUGGAUCGGCUUUGUACCUGUCACCUCAACCACCUCCA
rnacentral:misc_RNA from 1 species